AUUUUCAUAGUUUAUAUAAGAAUUAAGGUUUGUGGUACCUUGGGUGUGAUUUUUCACUGAAGAU
rnacentral:tRNA from 1 species